UAGCUAGCUACCGUUAGUUAGCUCACAGACUUUCGUACUGUAGCUAGCAAUCUAGCUAACGCUAUAUGAGGAGACACCCGGGAAAAAAUGUACAUAAAGUAGACAAGUAAUUAGUAAAAAAACAAGUUUGCCAUCAUUAUCAUAUCGUCAAAUGUACUUUAGAAAGAUGGCAAUUGCCAUAAAAACAGGUAGAACCGUUAGUCAAAAAUAGCUAGCAAUACUAAUGGUAGCUGUCUAAAACUCAUGAAUAGCAUGUCCUUUACUUAUAAUCUAAAAACAAGUACCUAAACAGUUACUUCAUGAAUGGUUGCUGCUGCCCAUUUCAAACCCCACGUGUGUACCUAGCCUGUUUUGCAAUGCAGUCUGGUGAAAAGUGUGCUGUGCAUAUGCAAAUGUUCUGAACUUCAGACUGAACUUCUCUUGACAAUUAUUAUGAAAACCAAAUCGAAGCCAAAUCAGACAUAGUGAUUGCUUGAAUGGAAGACAGUGCAAAGACACUGCACAAUCUCUUGCUUAUGAGCGGGACCAGCACCAGAACUAGGAAGAUAUGUAAAUAAACAAUUAACAUUCUUGUUCAUUGGUCCAUUAUCAUCAGAUCGCCUUGUGACUUUAUGCGGUGGGCCCAAAAACUUCCCACCUGAGCCAGAUGAAAUUCCAAGCAUUUUUAUAAAAACAGCUCUUUUAUUUUUAUUUUACCUUUAUUUAACCAGGCAAGUCAGUUAAGAACAAAUUCUUAUUUUCAAUGACGGCCUAGGAACAGUGGGUUAACUGCCUGUUCAGGGGCAGAACGACAGAUUUGUACCUUGUCAGCUCGGGGGUUUGAACUCGCAACCUUCAGGUUACUAGUCCAACACUCUAACCACUAGGCUACACUAGGGCAUUAUCAUAUUUUCGUGAAUUUCAGAGUGUUAUUUCGACCUCAUAGCGUGGAAAUAGCAUGAAAAAAAGGGAAAUAACGUUAACUACACUGGGCCUUUAAACCUAAUAAUCUAUAGGGUUUAAUGACAGGUGGCAGUAUAUCCGCUUCUGAUCAGUCAAAGGUAGUAAUUACAUGUCUGUUGUGGUUGUUGUUUACACAGGAUGGUGAAAUGAAUCCUGGGAGGUUAAUUUAAAAACUCAUUAUUUGGGGAUUAUGGCCAAGCACACACUGUACAAUAUCAAGAAUCAUAAUAACAUGAAGACAGUUUGUGUGGGGGUGUAUGUUCUCAUGGAAGACUGCCGUGACCACAUGUUCCAGAGCAGCCUUUAUAAGGGUCAGCCCUGGUGAGGCUUUGGCUUGAGAGGAAAGGAGAAGGCAAGUGGUGAUCACUAAGCAUCUAAAGGAGGACGUGCAGGGAUGAGACCCAUGGACCACAGCGUGCUGAAAUGUUGCCUCGUCUCUCUACUCUUGCUAACAGUGUCUGCAGCAGACCCUCCAUCCAAUGCAGCCAUUUUAGCUAGUGAAAUGACUCCAGGCAAUGCAUCCA